rnacentral:rRNA from 1 species
GAUGAACGCUGGCGGCGUGCUUAACACAUGCAAGUCGAACGGAAAGGCCCAAGCUUGCUUGGGUACUCGAGUGGCGAACGGGUGAGUAACACGUGGGUGAUCUGCCCUGCACUUCGGGAUAAGCCUGGGAAACUGGGUCUAAUACCGGAUAGGACGAUGGUUUGGAUGCCAUUGUGGAAAGUUUUUUCGGUGUGGGAUGAGCUCGCGGCCUAUCAGCUUGUUGGUGGGGUAAUGGCCUACCAAGGCGUCGACGGGUAGCCGGCCUGAGAGGGUGUACGGCCACAUUGGGACUGAGAUACGGCCCAGACUCCUACGGGAGGCAGCAGUGGGGAAUAUUGCACAAUGGGCGCAAGCCGGAUGCAGCGACGCCGCGUGGGGGAUGACGGCCUUCGGGUUGUAAACUCCUUUCGCUAGGGACGAAGCGUUUUUGUGACGGUACCUGGAGAAGAAGCACCGGCUAACUACGU